rnacentral:rRNA from 1 species
GACGAACGCUGGCGGCGUGCCUAAUACAUGCAGGUAGAACGCUGAAGGAGGAGCUUGCUCUUCUGGAUGAGUUGCGAACGGGUGAGUAACGCGUAGGUAACCUGCCUGGUAGCGGGGGAUAACUAUUGGAAACGAUAGCUAAUACCGCAUAACAGUAGAUGUUGCAUGACAUUUACUUAAAAGGUGCAAUUGCAUCACUACCAGAUGGACCUGCGUUGUAUUAGCUAGUUGGUGGGGUAACGGCUCACCAAGGCGACGAUACAUAGCCGACCUGAGAGGGGGCGCGGCCACGCUGGGACUGGGACACGGCCCAGACUCCUACGGGAGGCAGCAGUCGGGAAUCUUCGGCGAUGGACGGAAGUCUGACCGAGCAACGCCGCGUGAGUGAAGAAGGUUUUCGGGUCGUAAAGCUCUGUUGUAAGAGAAGAACGAGUGUGAGAGUGGAAAGUUCACACUGUGACGGUAUCUUACCAGAAAGGGACGGCUAACUACGUG